rnacentral:rRNA from 1 species
AGCGAACGCUGGCGGCAGGCCUAACACAUGCAAGUCGAACGGAUCCUUCGGGAUUAGUGGCGGACGGGGGAGUAACACGUGGGAACGUGCCCUUUGGUUCGGAACAACUCAGGGAAACUUGAGCUAAUACCGGAUGUGCCCUUCGGGGGAAAGAUUUAUCGCCAUAGGAGCGGCCCGCGUCGGAUUAGCUAGUUGGGGAGGUAACGGCCCACCAAGGCGACGAUUAGUAGCUGGUCUGAGAGGAUGAUCAGCCACACUGGGACUGAGACACGGCCCAGACUCCUACGGGAGGCAGCAGUGGGGAAUCUUGCGCAAUGGGCGAAAGCCUGACGCAGCCAUGCCGCGUGAAUGAUGAAGGUCUUAGGAUUGUAAAAUUCUUUAAGCGGGGACGAUAAUGACGGUACCCGCAGAAGAAGCUCCGGCUAACUUCGUG